CCAACACUCUUUGCCUCUCCGGCUCAGAUCAAGUGUAGUACCUGUUCUUCCUCAGCUUGACCGCUAGGAUUCCCCUUACGAGGGGUCGAUACGCUCAAGAUAUUCUUUGAACUGUGGCGGAAGGCCUGCCCCGCCUUGCGCAGAGAGGCCUCUUGCCGUUGUGUCCGAGGCCUUCCACUAUCGCCUUGUGAUGCGAAACGCAC
rnacentral:snRNA from 1 species